rnacentral:rRNA from 1 species
CCUACGGGAGGCAGCAGUAGGGAAUAUUGCUCAAUGGGGGAAACCCUGAAGCAGCAACGCCGCGUGGAGGAUGAAGGUUUUCGGAUUUUAAACUCCUUUUGUUAGAGAAGAUAAUGACGUUAUCUAACGAAUAAGCACCGGCUAACUCCGUGCCAGCAGCCGCGGUAAUACGGAGGGUGCAAGCGUUACUCGGAAUCACUGGGCGUAAAGAGCGCGUAGACGGGAUAGCAAGUCAGAUGUGAAAUCCUAUGGCUUAACCAUAGAACUGCAUUUGAAACUGUUAUUCUAGAGUAUGGGAGAGGUAGGUGGAAUUCUUGGUGUAGGGGUAAAAUCCGUAGAGAUCAAGAGGAAUACUCAUUGCGAAGGCGACCUGCUAGAACAUAACUGACGCUGAUGCGCGAAAGCGUGGGGAGCAAACAGGAUUAGAUACCCUAGUAGUC